AAACGGAUGCUAAUACCCCAUAGGUGGAUUGGUCGCAUGACGAAUUCAUUAAAGGUGGCUUUGCUACCACUCAUGGAUAGCCUCGCGGCGUAUUAGCUAGUUGGUAAGGUAAUGGCUUACCAAGGCAGUGAUACGUAGCCGACUUGAGAGGGUGAUCGGCCACACUGGGACUGAGACACGGCCCAG
rnacentral:rRNA from 1 species